rnacentral:rRNA from 1 species
UGGGGAAUUUUGGACAAUGGGCGAAAGCCUGAUCCAGCAAUGCCGCGUGUGUGAAGAAGGCCUUCGGGUUGUAAAGCACUUUUGUCCGGAAAGAAAUCCUUGGCCCUAAUACAGUCGGGGGAUGACGGUACCGGAAGAAUAAGCACCGGCUAACUACGUGCCAGCAGCCGCGGUAAUACGUAGGGUGCAAGCGUUAAUCGGAAUUACUGGGCGUAAAGCGUGCGCAGGCGGUUUGCUAAGACCGAUGUGAAAUCCCCGGGCUCAACCUGGGAACUGCAUUGGUGACUGGCAGGCUAGAGUAUGGCAGAGGGGGGUAGAAUUCCACGUGUAGCAGUGAAAUGCGUAGAGAUGUGGAGGAAUACCGAUGGCGAAGGCAGCCCCCUGGGCCAAUACUGACGCUCAUGCACGAAAGCGUGGGGAGCAAAACAGGAUUAGAUACCCUGGUAGUCCACGCCCUAAACGAUGUCAACUAGUUGUUGGGGGAUUCAUUUCCUUAGUAACGUAGCUAACGCGUGAAGUUGACCGCCUGGGGGAGUACGGUCGCAAGAUUAAAACUCAAAUGAAUUGACGGGGUCAUAGCUGUUUCCU